rnacentral:lncRNA from 1 species
GAGGGAUGGAGCAGUGGAAAGAGAUGGUGGCUGAGACCCGCCUGAGGAUUCACCAGGGAGCAGCCUCGACGACCUCAUCCAAGGACAGCCAGCCUGUCAGCAGGAAGGGUGGGGACCCGCAGAGCUAGGACCUCGCUGCCCGGCCAGCCUUUUUUUGCCUUCGAGAGAGGAAGAAAAGGGAUAGGAACGCCGGGACGGUGCAAGUCCACUAGGGCUGCGGCCGCCUUUACCUUUGUACGCCUAAGCGGUAGCACGGCGCGCGGCCCGCAAGGGCUGUUCCACUGCCCCCAGAGCCACUGGGUCCCGCGCGCCCCUGUGGCUUCCGCAGCCACUCCUGAGCCCGCUGCUGCUAAAAGAGGAUCCGGCUCAUCCCAACUCUUGAUUAUCCCAGAAGAGAGCUCCUAGCGUUGUAAGCGCUCACACAUGCUCUCCGCUCCUCUCUCUGCCUCUUAGGGGUAGGAACGAAUUUUGGGACACAUUCAAAUAUCCCAAGCCCCAAGUUCAGCCUGCUCUGGUCCCCAGGUCCCAGCCAGGUCCAGCUCUAACUGAUCUAGAGGAACAGCUAUGGCCUCACAGCAUCUCCAUGCUCCUCCUCGCUUUGUGUGCAAGACCCGGGAGUGUGGGGUAGAGUAGCCCUUGCUUUUGCAACUUAAUUAAGCUUUACUAUGUUUAAAGCACCUUUUUACUCUGCUGGGUAGACCUUUCUGCUCAACAUUCUUCAAAACAGGACUGGCAAGUGUCCUAGGAAGAUUCUCAGGGCUAGUAUCACUCACAACUGUAGAAAUUGGAACAUUUCAAAGAGGAAUUCAGGAUCUUUUUCUUGAAUUAAUUCAAAGCAGUCUUAGAAAAGUGAUUUUCUUCUCAAGAACAGUCACCAUGGUCAUCGAGGAUAAGCAAUAGCCAUCAGGAACCCAGGACAUGGUACAGAAUGCUCAGAAUUGGAAGUGACUAAUAGUAAAGUGAUCUAUAUUAUCAUCAUACUGGGCCAGGCCAUAUCAAGCUCCAUAUCAAGCUCCUACAACCAGGACUAGAGAAGUCUAAAUGACCCUUAGAGAAGGGGCUGUUACUUCUGUGUGUCUCUGCAAAGAAUCAGAGUCUUUUUGCUGUUGUUGCAAGAGUAGAAGAAACCACGGAUGUGGGAAAUUCAGAAUUUUUCAGCUAUACAAAAGGAAAAUCUUUUUAUGGUUCUUGUGAAGCUCACAGUUUUACUGCCAUGUAUAUUUAUUUAUAUAUUUCCUUAAAGCAUCUCAUUUAUUUUAGUUAUUAAAUUGUGUUUAUUUACUUGAGCUAUUAGAGGAAGUUUCUUUGAAUUAUAAAUUGUAUUCAAAGCCUUAAGGCACCCUAACUUAAAUUCAGAGGAUAUACACUUUUGUCCUUUUCUUAUACUAAAUUGAUCAUGAAGACAAGUACACAUGUACACAGUGGCAUUCUGUUUAUGGUGUGUGAUUGAAGGCCAUGAUGAAGUUAUAUAGUUGAUAUUUGAAAGCCCCUUAAAACAAAUUUAUCGCAGAAGUAAAAAUACAAUGAAAACAAUCCUAUAUGUUUUAUUACCAUGUUUUAUUAACAUUACUCUACAGCAGUAAUUUCUGAUAGUGGUAAAAUACUUUUGGUUUAUCGGAGACAGCUUUAGAACACAGGGAUGCUACAUGCCUGUCUUGUCGAUCUGGAUGAGUAUUCUAAAAUCUUCCUGUGGGAUCAAACAGGAGGACUCCAUUCUCCAGUAAUCUAACACUUAAGUGUGGCCCAUUCUUAAAAUAAUAUUUUUCACUGGAGUUUGGUUGCUUGGAACACUGAAUGGCUUACUCCUUGUAAGACAUAAUCCAAAAUCUGUCAGAGAUUUAUGGAAUUUCCACAUACACUCAGCAAGUGAAGAAUUUAUUCUCCAAUGUAUUUCUAUGUUACACAUGAUAUAGAAAGCUGCCUGGUCUAAUCUUGUCUGAGUUAAAUUUAAAUGUAUUUGCCAGAAUAAAAUUCCC